rnacentral:lncRNA from 1 species
UUUAUUCUCACAAUCUAACAUUCUCAUUCUGCCGCUCUUGGUCUCCACCAACCAGCCGUAGUGGCAACCCCCAAAUCACCAUUUUAAUGCACUCUUUGCUCUAUCUAUAGCUACUUUCCAGUGCCUAUUGAUGAAGCCCCUAGAAAAUGAUAAAUCACUUUAUCGGUGAUCUUGAUUUUUUUUUUCAUUACAGUUUGUUAUGCUUUUGUUUUUUAUUAUGUUUUUCAUGAUUUGAAUAGGAC